CGGCCUUUGAUCCGUUUCUCCAUUUCCGAUGGAUGAACGUUCUUUUUCCUGACUGUGCUCUUAUCAACUAUGCCUUUCGGAUCGUUACAAGCUCUCAAGAGAAAGCUUGGACCUGUUUGGCUCUGUACAAAGGAAAAAUCCAGGAAAAUUAAUGGUCAUUUUCUCAUCUCCAUCACUCGUCCAAGACCGAAAUCAAGAGGAAACAGAGUAGUCGAAUCGUCUAAAAGAAGUUUGAGAGAGAUGUUACCUGCAAAGGAAGUGAGAGGACACGAAACGAAGUGCCCGGAGCAGAGCAGAGCAGUUGCUGGCUUAGACUUGUGAACAGAGAAAGAGUGAGGUUUGUUUCAAUUAGUUUCCUGAGGAUUCUAUGGAACCAAAAAGAUUCUUAGGGAAAAAUGAAACUGCCAUUAAUGGCAGCUCUUGAUUUGUUGGGUGGUAGCCAUUUUCAAGAGUACUGUUGAAGCAAAACCUGUUAUGAUCAGUAAAAGCAAGAAAAAGCUGAAGCUUCACAGAAGGGAAACUGGCUUCAAGUCAUGUUGGUUGGAUUUAUUCAUUACAUCACCAUUUCUUAUAAAUCUGUUUGAGAAUGUUUGGGCCA